GAGGGAGCCGCCAGCCCAGGCAAACUGCAUCUGCUGGCCAGUCUGCAGGAGAUGGGCGAGCAGAUCCUGGAGGAAAGGAGAUUGGAAAGGAUCCUGCUGACGGAUGAAUGACCCUGUGUUUUAGAGCUUCUAGGGCCUAAGGAAAAUGCGUUUGUUGAGUAAUGCUGAAAGGCAGAGUCACAAGUCCAAAAGAAAGGCCAAAAAGCCUAGCAUGAACUAGCUGGAGGACAAUCCGAAAAUAAGAGCAAGAUCCUCAUACCUACCCAUAUUGUGACAUUAUCAAAGAAGAACAUGUGCUCGCUUCGGCAGCACAUAUGCUAUCAAAGAAGAACAUACAGCCACGAUGAAUGCAUCAUGACUAAAAGAAAACACAGAGUCUUUUGGACCAUGAGUUCCUGAAAAUCUAACAAACAUGACAUUUUUAUUUCUUCGGGCAACUGAAAUGCACCUGUUAAAAGUCUGUAGCUUCCUAGCACAAUGAAACAUGAAAUAUAACCCUUGCUCUUUGGAGACCAAACUAUCAAUGAAUAAAUCAAUGUUUCGCUCUCUUA